GAGGGGUUCCUCCCUUCACCCUUUGAAGUGGGUGGGGGGCCGGACGCCCGCCACGCCUGAGUGCGGAGGGCGAGGGCGGGAGCAAGGCCACCACAAAGACUGCGAUUGUUAGCCGGCGGCGCACAGUGGGCGGGGCUCGGGGGCCAGCAAGGAAAUAAGGCUGCAGCCCCUCUCCCGGCUCCCGCCCCUUCUCCUUCCUCCCCGGCUCCAGCUGGUCCAGCUCCACAAGGAGGGACCGGUGGAGGAGCGCCCAGCAGGCCCAGAGGUGCACCUCUCCUGCUGGGUCAUCGGGCUGUGCAUGCCGAGGGUGGUGGUCAGGAGGCCAGGCCCCAGGUGUUCCAAGGGCACCUAGUUUCCACCAGGACUGGGUGAGGAGCAAGGAGAAAGCAGAUGACCAAAAUUGGGCCUAUGGGGAGUCCCAGAAUGUGGCCCAUCAGAGGUCUGGCAGCCUCAGGACAGGAGCCUCUGGGGCUGGAAGCCUGACAGCCAAGGCGCAGAAAAGUGGUCAGCCCCCUGGCUGCAGCAGGACAGCAAAUGGGGGAGCGACAGAGUACCCAGCUCAGGCUGGGUGGAGAGCCUCAGAGCCUGCCCCCAGACGGCCAGCGAUCAAAGAGAAGAGUGGAUCCAGGAAAAAUCGAGCUGCCAAGUGGUUGAUUGGCUUUGCCUCCAUCAGCCUGAUGAAUAUUCAUGAGGAGGCAGACGCAUUUGCACCUCCGACUGAGAACCAGGUGACGGUGUGAUUGCUGUGGAGAAGCCCCAGGUCAGUUCCUGCUGGGUGCUCGGAUCCUGGGAACCCUCCCUCCGCUUCUCCCUGGCUGUCCUGAGAACGCCAUCCUGUUGGCAGGGGCUGUGCUCCCAUCUGGAUGGUGGUGGGUGAGGGUAUUUCAGCACGUCCUGGAAGGAGCAGGGUGCAUGGUUUUCCAUCAGUUGGGGCGCUGUCAGCCCAGGUUCCUGGUGUUGAGGGAGGGGCUUGCCCCAGGGAGUAAGGAGGGCUGGAGAGAAGGGAGGUGGGCUCUGCUGAAAAGCCCUUGAAAGGCAGCCCUCAAGGCCUUCUCCAGGGCUUGGGGUUGGGUCCCUGGGAGGGCCUGGGUGGGCAGUGUGAGCAGCGCA
rnacentral:lncRNA from 1 species